CCAAGGUGCCUUCUGAUUGGUUUAAGUGUGGCUCCCCGGUGAAGCCGAGGAGCCUGGUUAGGGAUCUGCCGGCUCAGAACAGCGACUGGACCCUGACCUCUGGCAGAGGGUUCCGUCCUUUCAGGAAGCUUUGCCACAUCCCGUGUGUACACUGGGUGACUAAUUAUUUAUUGUAGAGCCGCGUGAUGGAAUGGUGAACAAAGGUUGCCCCUGGCCACCUUUUGUCCGUCGCCACUGGAGCUUCUCCUGUGGGAUGGGAUGUUGCUGGGAACCCGCCACAGCGUCUGAGGCAGUAAUGAACGCCGCUUUAUGGUACAGCUCAGAACCCCUGGGCACGUACGGAGGCAGUGCAUUACACAUAUGUACGCCCUGCCUUUCUCGGGCUCAAAAGCGUUCUCUCAACCCUUCUUCCUGCCAUCACAGCUGCGGGUGACGUCAUGUUGAUGUUGGCUUCCGAAGGCCGGCGAGGAUCUUGGUGUGAUGUACGUGGCCGCACUGUGCUAGGUAACGGGGAAACCACGGUGUACUCAUUUACUCUGACCCAGUGAUACGGCAACUCACCCAAGCCCACACCAACUGCGGGUCCUUUGUGACUGACAGCUUUCCGAACGUUCUGCUUGCCCUGCUGCUUCCUCUUGGACUGUCUCCAUAAGAGUGAGCGGGUCUAUGGCCGUCACUACUGCCAUCCUCCACCGACAAGGUUCGUCUUUCCAGUGUGAGCUGAAUACCAGGGACGCUCCAGGGAUCGUCCGGGCCUUCGGCACCAGACUGGGACUGUUUGAAGCGCUCAGCUCUGUGAACUAAGAGUUACCGGGUUCUCAGCUUUUCCAGCCUGUGGACAGCCACUGGUGGACUGCCCAGCGCCUAGCGUGUAAGCCAAUCUAAUAAAUCCCCUUUUAUAAUGUU